rnacentral:lncRNA from 1 species
CAGAAUAUAAGCAGGAAAUCUCUGUUUUGUUCUUCCUCUUCCUCCUGCUCUCUGCCCUGGAGCCGCCAUGUGAUCCUGGGAAGAGGAUACUAACGGAAGGUUGCUGUGGGCUUCCUCACCACAUGUUGGCUCAGAGAAGGACUUCUCAACUUGCUGUUCAGGUAUCAAAGAUAAGCAUUUAAAAGAUUAAGAAUGAAGACUGGUUGCCUGUAGUACUGAAUGUCACAAUUUGCCAAGUCUGACAUCUACUACAUUUGAAGGGUUCCAAGUGCAUGGUAAUCCCACAGAGAUCCAAGGCCAUCUGAAACAAUCACCUGGCAAUGCAUCACUUGAAGUCAUUGGCUGCAAGCAACAGAAACUGACUGUAGCUUAAGCAAAAAUAAGAAAGCAUUAUGCUUGGACAUUGAAGAGUUGACUCAAAUGUGGAAGAAUGGAUUUAGAAUGUAACUCCACAGCAACAGAAUAUGCCUUGAGCCUUGGAGGGGGUGAUAAUCAUUCUGAUAAAUGAAUAUGGGAGACAUCUUAUCCUCCACACAGUGUUGGCUUCCCCUUCCAUGGGGAAUCAUGGUAUACUCUCUUCUUUAUACAUGUGUUUUAUGUCCAGUGUCUACUGUGGCCACUUCACCUUUUCUGUCCUGCGCUAUUUUUUCCAGACACAACCAGCUCUGUUGUGUCUGGAAAAUGCCAUUUCUAUGGAGUUGACACAACCUCUAGCUCUCAUAAUCUUUCUAUCUUCACUCCCAAGCAGAUCCCUGAGUUAAGAAUGUUCUUUGUAGGUCUGAGUGUUCCACAUAUUCAUAUGUUAAUGAGUAGUUGAAUAUUUUGUCUCAGCAGAACUUGAUUACUAACUUAGAAUUUAUUUUUAUAAUUACUAACUUAGAGGGUCUCAUGGACCAUGAGUUGACUUCAAAUUUGCAAUGUAGAAAACGAUGACCUUGAACCUCCUGCCUCUACCUUCCAAGUUGUGAUUACAGGCACCAUACCUAGAUUCAUUUAUAAUUUAAAACUCAUGCAUCCCUUCUGUAUUAUAGAAAAGUUAAUUAAGAAUGUCACAGCUGAGUAAUUCAGAACAUGUAAAUGGGAUGAUGCCUAAAGCAGUGGUUCUCAACCUUCCUAAUGCUGCCACGUUUUGGUACAGUUCCUCAUGUUGUGGUGACCCCCAAUCAUAAAAUUGUCUUUGCUUCUACUUCAUAACUAUAAUUUUGCUACUGUUAUGAAUUGUAAUGUCAAUAUCUGAUAUGCAACUCCACCCACAG